AGCUCCAAUAGCGUAUAUUAAAGUUGUUGCAGUUAAAAAGCUCGUAGUUGGAUUUCUGUUCAAACGCACCCGAACCGCCGGCGUUAGCUGUGUGAGUGUCGGAGUACGUUGGACAUCCUUCCGGAGAGUUAGCCCCUUCAUUGGCGGCUAGCAAUCUGGGACGUUUACUUUGAAAAAAUUAGAGUGUUCAAAGCAGGCUCGCGCUGUGAAUACAUUAGCAUGGAAUAAUAAGAUAGGACUGCUGUCCUAUUUUGUUGGUUUCUAGGACGGAAGUAAUGAUUGAUAGGGAUAGUUGGGGGUGCUCGUAUUGAACGGCCAGAGGUGAAAUUCACGGAUUCGUUCAAGACGAACUAAUGCGAAAGCAUUCACCAAGGAUGUCUUCUUUAAUCAAGAACGAAAG
rnacentral:rRNA from 1 species